UACGGGGGGUGCGAGCGUUGUCCGGAAUCACUGGGCGUAAAGGGCUCGUAGGCGGCCAACUAAGUCGGAUGUGAAAUCCCCAGGCUUAACCUGGGAACUGCAUCCGAUACUGGAUGGCUUGAAUCCGGGAGAGGGAUGCAGAAUUCCAGGUGUAGCGGUGAAAUGCGUAGAUAUCUGGAGGAAUACCGGUGGCGAAGGCGGCGUCCUGGACCGGCAUUGACGCUGAUGAGCGAAAGCUAGGGGAGCAAACGGG
rnacentral:rRNA from 1 species